rnacentral:lncRNA from 1 species
GUGUUUUAACUAAUUCUGACCAACUUUAUAAUCCAAAGACCACAAAAAAUUUAUGGGUGCAUGAGCCUACUUUAAAAUACAUACACCGAUUUUUAGCAUUUUGUUUUUCAGGUAGAAAUGACGCAUCAGCUGCUUUAACUAAGACUGAACUGUUCUUUUUGUGGUGCAUGCAUUCGGGUAUUAAAGUUAAUUUAGGAUAUUGGUUUGCACGAAAUUUUCAUGCCGUUUUAAGUUACAACCGUCCACUUAUACUUGGAUCAUUCAUUUCAAAUUUAGCCUCUCGACUUUUUGAGUCUG